UACAGAGGUCUCAAGCGUUGUUCGGAUUCAUUGGGCGUAAAGGGUGCGUAGGUGGCGCGGUAAGUCGGGUGUGAAAUUUCGGAGCUUAACUCCGAAACUGCAUUCGAUACUGGACGGCUAGAGUCUGGUAGGGGGAUCUGGAAUUCCUGGUGUAGCGGUGGAAUGCGCAGAUAUCAGGAGGAACACCGGUGGCGAAGGCGGGAUCCUGGGCCAGUACUGACGCUGAGGAGCGAAAGCGUGGGGAGCAACAGG
rnacentral:rRNA from 1 species